rnacentral:lncRNA from 1 species
UUUGGUGUGAUUAUUUGUUAUGGCCCUGAGUAUAUAACUUGGUUUUGAUUUUUAUAGCUCACUUAGAGACUUUGGACUUUUAAAGUGUUGAGAUUUGUAAAGAAAUUGGGGUUUUAAGAAAUACUUAUUUUAUGUGUGUCUGAGCACAUGUCUAUGUACCAUGUGCAUGCAGUGCCCUCAGAAGCCAGACAAGUGUGUCAAAUCUCCUGAAACUUAUUAUAAACUGUUAUGACACAUACCCUUGUCUCCACUCCCAAAUUUUUACUUUAAUAAGUUAUUUUAAAUUUUAUGUAUGUGUUUUUGUCUGAAUGUAUGUCUGUAUACCACAAGUGUGCCUGAUACCCUUGGAAGUCAGAAGGUGUCAGGUGGGCAAAUAGAGUUACAGAUGAUUGUGAGCUGCCAUGUGGGUGCUGGGGCUUAAAUUCAGGGCCUCUGAAAAAGUAGCCAGUGCUCUUGGCCAUUGACCCAUCACUAGCUCUGCUUAGGGGCUUUUAAAAAGCUGGAAUACAUUAUACAGUAUGUAUUAUAUAAAGUAAACAUGAGACUUUGGAGACUAGAGGUGAAAGUUAAGGUUUUAAAGUAAUGAUGUGUUUGUGAAUUUGACUACGGAGGAUCCCCUGGGGAGAAAGCCUCAAUGUAGGCUUGUCUAUGUCAUGUUCACCUGUGGGCACAUCUGUGGGGGUUGGGGGUUGUCUUGACUGUCUUAACUGCUGUGGGAAGAUCCACCCUAAAUAUGGGAGGGGCCUUCUGUUAGUGCUCAGAUGAAACAAUAUGGAAGCCAGAGAGUUUUGCUCUUUUGCCUGCUUGGCCUUCAUUCUUGAUGGCAAGUUCAUCUAUUCUGCUGCUGCUGCUGCUGCUGCUGCUGCUGCUGCUGCUGCUCCUUUAGCUGACUUUAGGACCAACUUCUUCAGGCUUCCAGUGUUGAUGGAAGGCCCAAAGCUCCUCAGGAAUCCUCCAGGCCUUCACCAAUGUAGGUACUGCUGAGUUGGGUACCUAGCCUUUGGGCCUGAGCAGAUACCAGAUUCUUGGUCUUUGUAGUGUGAGACAACUAUACUCAGACCAUAUUGUGUAAGCUAAUAAAUCUCAUCUUAACUAUAUAUCCAUCCUCUCAGCUCUCUUCCUCUAAAGAGCCCUAAGAUUGUGCACCCCUGUCCAAGAGUCAGCUCCCCCCCCCCUUUUGCUUUGUGUAGUCCCUGGCUCUGUUCCUAAUGAGUGAACAAAUGUAACAAGAGUUUUCUCCUACUUGCCUUGACUGAGUCUCCCAUUGACAAGCUACUUAAAUGGAGAGAAUUAACUUUCCCAGCCCCUGAAGUACUCAACUUCUGAGCUAAGCCUUUUGUCCCAGAAUACGUGAGUUUUGGGUGUGAACUUUGUAGAUGGCAGUAUGUCACAAUGUUAGAAGAUUGGACACUCCUAAAAGGAGGCGAGGUUGAAGACAAAAGUGAGACACUAAAACUGAGUUCUUGAGAACGUAGGAGGGGUUGAGAACCAGGCCCUCAACUGAUGCAGAGGCAUUUCCUUAGGGGAGAGGGUGGAAAAAGCUCAGGUUCUCCAGGGACCUCAGAGCCGCCGCUUUUCUUUCCUUAAUGCCACUGUUCCAAUGCUCUGCUCAUUUCGUCUUGGCACAUGCUGCUCUUCCUCAUGCCUGACAGUGGUAUGAGAUGGUGAUAGACGUGAGAAUCUUGAGACUCAUGAAGACAGAGGGUGAACUGAGCUAAACCAUAGCAUUCAGUUCCAGGAAGGAAGAAUGACUCCACAGAGGAGGGAACAGAGGUGACCUCUCACUUUCAAAGAGAUAGUGGGUGUGGAACGAGAACCCAGAAAAAGGAUCCUGGGAGCUGCACUGUUUGUUCAUGGUGGCAACAGACUUGUUCUUAUUCAAAAACCAGACCUCAGAAAACAGCUGGCUAAAAUAGCACUUGUGUGGGUUCCACCAGUAUUCCAGACAGUCCCCACUUAGUGCCAUUUUCAUCUUAAUCAUUUCCAUCUUAUCAUUGGAGACCACCCCGCUUUCCACAUGCAGCCCCUUGGCUGCAGACUGGGUUUCCCCUUCAGAACCCAGGCUGUGCACACCUUGCCUCUGCUGCAGAACUCCCUCCGUGUUACCAUAGCUUCUGAUGAUGGCUAUUUUGGUACAUCCCAAGUAGGGCAGGAAGGAUUUACCAUAACUUAGGAAUUGAGUGGGGCUCUUACAAAAGGCCCACAGAAAAGACAGCUUUUACUAGAGCUUGAACCUGCUUUUCCCCCAACCUCAGGCCCUAGAAUUGUAACCAGAUUCCUUUAUGAAGUCUUAUGGUGGGCUGGUGAGAUGGCUCAGUGGGUUAGAGCACCCGACUGCUCUUCCGAAGGUCCAGAGUUCAAAUCCCAGCAACCACAUGGUGGCUAACAACCAUCCGUAACAAGAUCUGACUCCCUCUUCUGGAGUGUCUGAAGACAGCUACAGUGUACUUACAUAUAAUAAAUAAAUAAAAUCUUUAAAAAAAAAAAAAAAAAAGAAGUCUUAUGGUAUAGAAUUUUAAGAUGCUCAAAAUUCAAAGCCUCCACCCUCAUCUGUGACUGUUGCUACAGUCUUCCCAUCUGGAGUAAAAAGCAUUAUGCUUGGGGGACAAACCAUCUUCUUAGACCCCUACAUCUAAUCAGUAAAUGUAUCCAUUCACUCUUCCUCCAAGGCAUACAUGUCCAUUAUCCAGCCACAUGCCAAUUAAUGUUAAUUUAGCUAAUGAUACCUAGGUAUUUUCAUUCAAUACUAACCUAGAUAUUGCUGUGAAGGUAGUUUUAAGAGUCUGUAGACUCAUAAAAGCUGAUAAUGGGUUUUAUUAAAUGAUUUGAAGCCACCUCCCAAAACAAACAAGAAACCAAACACCUGGCCUCUGAAGAAGGAAUUCCUCCAGCUAACUACUUCCAGACCCCAUCUGCAAUGUCGGCUGUCCCUUCUAUCCAGCCUGCUGUCCUACUGUGUAGACUUUGAGCCUCCAGCUUUCCCAACCUCAUGAGUCAAUCCCUUGAAAUCUCUCAAAAAAAAAAAAAAAAAUGAAACACUCUUGACUACAGUCCAUAUGGCCAGUAUUGGUUGCUAGAACUGCCUUAGUCCAGCCAGUUGUGGGUCUUCACCUGGUAGGAUGGCCUGGACCUUUACUCCUAAUGGGUUUGGGCCAUUUGUUCUUCUGUCUCAGCUGCACUGUCUUUAGCUCAUUGCCGAAGCUGGUCAUAAGACAUGGUGGUGAUCCUGACAAGUGUGCUGAGUGGUCCAGAAUCCAGACACUUCCUCGCCUCCAACUUCCCUUUAGUAGUGAGCAUCUGUCACCCGGACAGCACAGCAAUUCCCUUCUUUGCCAGUUUCUUCAGUGCCGUGAGGGACCUAAAAGGGCUGAACACUCUUAGCUGCUGGUUGAAUGGAACCAUUGUCUCCUAGCAGAAGCAUUCAAGCAUCUUACCUUGGGCACCAGACCCCUGGGUCAGCAGAGCAGAGCAUUCAGGCAUGGGAGGCAAAGAGUAUUGCUAGUCAACUGGGGUUACUCGAUAAUAACAACACUCUGAUUUCCCACUUCUUGCUUUCUGGAACCCUAGCUACUAGACCAAACAAGGCUGCUAGUACCCCUGUUGGUUCUGUUUCUAUCAGCUCUAAUGCAAGAGCAGGUCUUUCUCGGCAGCUCUGCUGUCAUGUGCUCCCCUGUCACUGUCUUUCUAAAUCAUGGCCAAGGGUUCAGAAGCUAUGAAUAAGUCAGUGAGUGAGUAUGUAGGAUGGCCUUAGAAGCAUUUAUGAGUUUUGUGGACACAUGGGCAGAUGGAGUUUUAGGCUAAGGAAAUUAGUGUGGAAAGUUCUAACAGGUCAGCUUGCUGGUUGUGAGGAGGGGGCAAAAGAGCAAGUUGGGGUAUAGUGUGAGGGCUCCUUUCAGUUUGCUUAUUGUGAUGGAUUGUAUAUGCUUGGUCCAGGGAGUGGCACUAUUUGGAGGUGUAGCCUUGUUGGAGUACGUGUGUCACUGUGGGUGUGGGCUUUAAGACCUUCAUUUCAGCUCCCUGGAAACCAGUAUUUUACUAGCAGCCUUCAGAUGAAGAUGUAGAACUCUCAGCUCUUCAUGGACCAUGCCUGCCUGGAUGCUGCCAUGUUCCUGCCUUGAUGAUAAUGGAUUUAACCUCUGAACCUGGACAGUCUCCCUUCCCGUGGUCUGUAACGAGGGAUGCUGUCAGUGUGGAAGGUCUCUCGGAAGCUACUGCCAUUUCCCUGCUAGAAAACACAGCAGCCAGCCUUCAUUUAGAGCCUUCCUCCUGCAGCAAGGACACUCAUUUGAAUAGGAAAGGUUUUCUUCUGUGUGGUAUAUGGAAUACACCCAAGAGGAAGGCACCCAGGGAUUCCCCACAGAGAAUGGACCACAGGAUCAUGGAGAGAGGCAGAGAUGAAGUAAAUGUUUCCAAGUGUUUUCACACUUUCCUCGCUAACAGGUAUACAAGACAGUUGAAGCAUUUCAAAGCCGGGCUGGGUGUGCAGCUCAGUUGGUAGAGUACUGGCUCCCAGGCACGAAGACCUGAGUUUGACCCAAGCAUCACAUAAACCAAGCGGAUGGAACAUGUCUGUAAUACCACUGCUUAGGAAGGAGGAGCAGGAGGGUGAGAACAUCACGGUCAUCUUUGAGCUACAUAGUGAAUUUGAGGCCUGCCUGGGAUUCAUAAAAAGCCUUUUCUCAAAAAGAAAAACUUCAAAGCCAAAAGUAUAGAAUACUACCACAAGCAAGCUGGAUGGAUGUGAUUUCCACAGCCCUUUCAUUUUGGGGGGCAUUCGCUGCUCUGCAUCGCCUUCGACAGGACCCAGGAUUUGAGGAAAGAGGGAUGCUUGACUGCUAAGUGUGCCUCAACAGAAUGUUCAAAAAUGGGUUCCCAGGAUUAUGAUGUCAUCCUAUCUUUGUGUUCCAAUCCAAGACCAUAAAGAUCUUCAUAUACACAGCAAUCUCCACAUAAGCAGAGCUGGUAGUGAGGGUGCUAGCAAGACUGAUCCAACAAUGAUUAUUUCUAAAGCUGCUUCUUGGCUGUGCUUCCAAUCCCCAGCUGCCAGUCCAUAUGCCCCCUCUGGUGUCUUCACGUUGAAGUCACCCAGAUGCAUAGCACCGAAGCUAAUUAAUGUGCCCUCUGGUGCACAGCAAGCACUGUGGCCUGUGGCAGGUGGCACCACUGACACAGAGCAGAGUCCAAUUUUAAGCAGCUAAAUGUUAGGGGGGCAGAGGUCACUCCGUGUGUAGAAUUUAAUUUUGAAGGUAGGUCCCAUUGCUAGGCUUCCUUGCCCUCUCUUCUGCUCUUCAUGGGCUAUUAACAGAAAAUACCCCGUAGGUGAAAGAAACUCCUGCAUACUGCUGCAGUUUUCUUUUCCUCCUUUGUACAGUAGAGGAAUGGAGGUGGUGUGGCUGGUUUUGUAGAAGCAGUUCUUCCUGGGUGGAGAAAAACCAUAUAGGAGUGUCAUUGGAAUUAGACUAAUGACUUAUUAAAAAUCUUAGACGUGGGGAAGGGUAUUCUCAAAGGCAGUGUGAUGGUUUGUAUAUCCUUGGACCAGGGAGUGGCACUAUCUGAAGGUGUGGCCUUGUUGGAAUAGGUGUGACCUGGUUGGAAUGGGUGUGUCACUGUGGGUAUGGUUAUAAGAUCCUCACCCUAGUUGCCUGGAAGUCAGUCUUCCACUAGCAGCCUUUGGAUUAAGACAUAGAACUCACAGCUUCUCCUGCGCCAUGCCUGCCUGGAUGCUGCCAUGCUCCCACCUUGAUGAUAAUGGACUGAACCUCUGAACCUGUAAGCCAGCCCCAAUUAAAUGUUUUUUAUAAGACUUGCCUUGGUCAUGGUGUCUGUUCACAGCAGUAAAACCCUAACUAAGACAGGCAGCUUGUAUCAAACCCAGCUCAUUAGAACAGUCGUAAUAGCUGAUGGGAAAUGAAGAAUGAACACCUGAUUAUAGAGGCACUGAAGGCUGAUCAGGCAGCUCCACUAGACCUGGAGGCAGAGGGAGGAGCAGCCCAGGGCCCACACGGUCUCAAGAUACUGGAGAACCUUGCAGUCUACUGCCGCUAAAGCAAUCAGUGUGGUGAAAGAGUGAAUGGGAAUGUUUGUGAAUGUGGUUAUUAGUUAAAAGUGAAUGAGAAACAAACUGUUCAUGACCUGUUGCUUAGGAGAGCCUGGCUUCUCUCCCCUGGACAAUGACUCUUUAAGAGAAAGCAAGUUCUAUAGGCUUAUAUUUUUCAAGAUCUACUUUAAUACGGGUACUUAAAUGCUUUACCCUCCAUUCUAGGCCACCACCCACCAGAGGUAGUGGAAAGGAAAGCUUGAUAGAGCAAAGGAGGAUGUGGACCUGUUUGGAAAUAGUUCUUUGGGGUGAAUCUAAUCUAUGUUGUCAGGAUAUGAGCAGUUCACACAAAUCAGCAAUGGCAGUUUGAUUCAGAAGAAAACACAAGGCUCUGCCAAUUGGCCUGAGUCUGCAGAGUAGCAAGAAGCCCCUGGAACACUACCAGAAGUUCUGUGGUGUGUUGCUGUCUCCGAGUUCAUGACAAAUAAUGAUCAGCAAAGAGUGGCAAGGCAGACCAAUACCACCCGGCAUCAUCAACAAAGACCAGCAUCAGCAAAGCCCAUCAAAGACCAGUAGAGUGGCAAGGCGAACCAAUACCACAGAGCAUCACCCACUGUCUGCUGGGUUAUAUGUAUUCCCUUUCCUAACAUCCUGUGUUCUUUCAAGCAUCCGCUCAAGCAAAACAUCACAUUCCUCUUUUCCAGGUAACUUCCAGAAAAAUACCACAUGUCUGUUCUUAACAAAACAUCCUCCAAUGUGUCUGCUUCCGCAAAAACAUCCUCUCAUCAGAGUUUCCCGAAAAAUAUAUAACACAACUGAGUCUCCAAAGAAACCAGAAGUUUCCACUUCAAAGUUCUAAUCAGAAAGUCACCUGCUGAGCAGGGAAUUUAACUGUACCGGUAGAGUUCUGUUUCUAAUCUCAUGCGGCCACCAUGAUAUAUCUCUGAGAGACGUAUCAUGUGUCCCCAGGCAGGGCAACCUCUUCCUGGACAGUUAACUCAGACAAGCACUGCAACUUCAGCUCUUUAUUCUUUCCUUUUCUGUUUUCUGUUUCCUUUUCUGUAGUCAGCUCAGCAGGCCUUCACAAAAUGUGAUUAAUUUGGUUUAAGCAUAUUUGAUCACAAGUCACACUCUAAUCCCACGUUCCACUAAUUCUAGAGUAUGCUCUUAUAGCAGAGCUGGCUGUGUACCUCUCUUCUGCUCUUUGUCUAAUUACAUCAAGCUCUUGGUUUGAAUUGCUAAUCAUGGGAGUGUUUACCCCUCUGUAACUGUCAAACAGUGCAAUCUGAGAUGUUACUGAGAGAGCCAUCCAUACACAUUUACCAGCACAACACUACCUGGGCAUCUUGAUUGGAUUUUGGGAGAGUGGUGGUUUGAAUGAGAUGUCACCCAGAGACUCAGGCAUUUGAACACUUAGUCUCCUUUUAGAGAUACUAUUUGGGCAGGCUUAGGAGAUAUGGCCUUGCUAUAUCUUGCUUGAAGUAUAUCACUGGCUUUGGGGUUUUAAAAGCCACAGACCAUUUCCAGUCAGCUCUGCUUCCUGCUUUCAAUUUAGGAUGUGAGCCUUCCAGCUGCCAUACUUCCCUGCGGUGAUGGUGGAUUCUUAUCCCUCAGAAACUGUAAGUCCAAAUAAACCCUUCCUUCUCUAAGUUGUCUUGGUUGUCAUGUUUUAUCACAGCAACAGAAAAAUCAAGACAGUGACACUACAGUUUUAGAUCUCCAUUUAUAGAAAUUCCUUGAUUUCCCCUGCAAGCCAUCAAAUGUAUCAUUAUUUUAUAAUUCUAGAGUAAAUCUUUUUUCCUAAGAGUUAAUCUUUUUUUUUUUAAAGACUUAUUAUUUAGUAUAUGUAAGUACACUGUAGCUGUCUUCAGACACUCCAGAAGAGGGAGUCAGAUCUCGUUACGGAUGGUUGUGAGCCACCAUGUGGUUGCUGGGAUUUGAACUCCGGACCUUUGGAAGAGCAGUCGGGUGCUCUUACCUGCUGAGCCAUCUCACCAGCCC